GACUCUCGGCAACGGAUAUCUCGGCUCUCGCAUCGAUGAAGAACGUAGCAAAAUGCGAUACUUGGUGUGAAUUGCAGAAUCCCGUGAACCAUCGAGUCUUUGAACGCAAGUUGCGCCCGAAGCCAUCCGGCCGAGGGCACGCCUGCCUGGGCGUCACGCGUCG
rnacentral:rRNA from 1 species